rnacentral:tRNA from 1 species
GGGGCCAUAGCUCAGUUGGGAGAGCGCUUGCAUGGCAUGCAAGAGGUCGCGAGUUCGAGUCUCGCUGGCUCCA